UUUCCCUACACGACGCUCUUCCGAUCUAAGUUGCGUAUGAGUUAGUAGAACAUCCUGGGAAGGGUGGCCAUAGAGGGUGAUAGCCCCGUAUACGAAAGCCAUACACAAUGAAUCGAGUAGGGCGGGACACGUGAAAUCCUGUCUGAACAUGGGGGGACCAUCCUCCAAGGCUAAAUACUCGUUGUCGACCGAUAGUGAACCAGUACCGUGAGGGAAAGGCGAAAAGAACCCUGGUGAAGGGAGUGAAAUAGAACCUGAAACCGUGUGCAUACAAGCAGUCAGAGCAUAUGAAGAUAUGUGAUGGCGUACCUUUUGUAUAAUGGGUCAGCGAGUUACAUUCAGUGGCGAGGUUAACCGAAUAGGGGAGCCGUAGCGAAAGCGAGUCUUAAUAGGGCGAUAAGUCUCUGGGUGUAGACCCGAAACCGGGCGAUCUAUCCAUGGGCAGGUUGAAGGUUGAGUAACAUCAACUGGAGGACCGAACCCACGCAUGUUGAAAAAUGCGGGGAUGACCUGUGGAUAGGAGUGAAAGGCUAAACAAGCUCGGAGAUAGCUGGUUCUCCCCGAAAACUAUUGAGGUAGUGCCUUGUAGAUUGACUUACGGGGGUAGAGCACUGUUUCGGCUAGGGGGUCAUACCGACUUACCAACCCGAUGCAAACUCCGAAUACCGUAAAGUUUUACUACAGGAGACACACGGCGGGUGCUAACGUCCGUCGUGAAGAGGGAAACAACCCAGACCGCCAGCUAAGGUCCCGAAAUGACAGUUCAGUGGGAAACGAAGUGGGAAGGCUUAGACAGCUAGGAGGUUGGCUUAGAAGCAGCCAUCCUUUAAAGAAAGCGUAAUAGCUCACUAGUCGAGUCGUCCUGCGCGGAAGAUUUACCGGGGCUAAACUGUCUACCGAAGCUGCGGAUUUGCAUGAAGAUGCAAGUGGUAGGGGAGCGUUGUGUAAGCCGAAGAAGGUGUGUUGAGAAGCAUGCUGGAGGUAUCACAAGUGCGAAUGCUGACAUGAGUAACGAUAAUGCGGGUGAAAAACCCGCACACCGAAAACCCAAGGUUUCCUGCGCAACGCUAAUCGGCGCAGGGUGAGUCGGCCCCUAAGGCGAGGCGGAAACGCGUAGUCGAUGGGAAACAGGUUAAUAUUCCUGUACUGAUCAUAAUUGCGAUGGGGGGACGGAGAAAGCUAGGCCAGCACACUGUUGGAUGUGUGUUUAAGCGCGUAGGUUGGGGAUUUAGGCAAAUCCGGGUUCCUAAGACUGAAACGUGAUGACGAGUUUCUACGGAAACGAAGUGGUUGAUGCUCUGCUUCCAGGAAAAGCCUCUAAGCUUCAGAUUAUGACAACCGUACCCCAAACCGACACAGGUGGGUAGGAAGAGAAUUCCAAGGUGCUUGAGAGAACUCGGGUAAAGGAACUCGGCAAAAUGAUACCGUAACUUCGGGAUAAGGUAUGCCUCUGAUGGUGAAUAGCUGUUGGAGGCCGCAGAGAAUAGGCCGCUGCGACUGUUUAUCAAAAACACAGCACUCUGCAAACACGCAAGUGGACGUAUAGGGUGUGACGCCUGCCCGGUGCCGGAAGGUUAAUUGAUGGGGUGCAAGCUCUUGAUCGAAGCCCCGGUAAACGGCGGCCGUAACUAUAACGGUCCUAAGGUAGCGAAAUUCCUUGUCGGGU
rnacentral:rRNA from 1 species